AAGCUUAGGCUAAACA
rnacentral:tRNA from 2 species